UACAGAGGCCUCGAGCGUUAGGCGGAAUCACUGGGCUUAAAGCGUGUGUAGGCGGACUUCUAAGUACCUUGUGAAAUCCCACGGCUCACCCGUGGAACUGCUUGGUAUACUGGUUGUCUUGAGCCUUCUAGGGGCGAGUGGAACAAAUGGUGGAGCGGUGAAAUGACGUAGAUAUCAUUUGGAAUCGCCAAUGUGAAAACAGACUGCUGGGGCUGUGCUGACGCUGAGACACGAAAGCCAGGGGAGCGAACGGG
rnacentral:rRNA from 1 species